rnacentral:rRNA from 1 species
AUUGAACGCUGGCGGCAGGCCUAACACAUGCAAGUCGAACGAGUGGCGGACGGGUGAGUAAUGUCUGGGAAACUGCCUGAUGGAGGGGGAUAACUACUGGAAACGGUAGCUAAUACCGCAUACCAUCAGAUGUGCCCAGAUGGGAUUAGCUUGUUGGUGGGGUAACGGCUCACCAGGGCGACGAUCCCUAUCUGGUCUGAGAGGAUGACCAGGCACACGGGAACUGAGACACGGUCCAGACGCCCACGGGAGGCAGCCGGGGGGAAUAUUGCACAAUGGGCGCAAGCCUGAAUGAGCCAUGCCGCGUGGAUGAAGGAGGCCUUCGGGUUUUAAAGUACUUUCAGCGGGGAGGCGUUACCCGCAGAAGAAGCACCGGCUAACUCCGUGCCAGCAGCCGCGGUAAUUC